CUUUCUUCUUCGUUCCGUUCUCGAUUUCCUUUUGGAUUCACCUGCAAUUUUUCUUCCUUAAUUAUUUUCUUCUAUUUCUUUACUUCUAAUUCUUCUCUCAUGGGGGAACUGGUUAUUGAUUGCUGUUUCUUCCGACCAGCUCUUUUCAGUACAGAAUUCUGUGGUAUCACAUUUUCUUUCGGCAACAGGCAGGGUGCAAUGUCGUUCAUGUUCGACAGCGGGGAAACAGUAGGUUCAACAAUCGGCGAUGUUCUCUUGGUGUUUAGCGUAUUUAUAGCCGUUAUGGUGCUCGUCGAUCCACAAUUAAAUAAAAUUUUCUCUUCACCAGCUGUGCUCGUCGAUACAUAAGCGAAUAAAAUUUUUUCUCUGCCAAGACCAAAAUUUCUCGAAGUUUCUUCACGUGAAUCUACAAGAAACAUUGGAAGCUCAUCGAUAUUGAAUGCUGCAUCUGCGAUAAUCGAUGGUGAUAUCAAGGUAUCGUCGUGAAUAGCAGUCUGUGAUGGCUCUUUUUGUUGGAGUAUUUUCGGUGUGAUGUUUUCAUUGCUGAGUGGAUUCGAAUUUAUUGACCGUAGUGGCGAAGCAGCCACGAAAUCUUCUUGCAGAAUUAUAUUUGGAUUGAGUGGACAGAUUCCAGUCGAGCGAAAUCCAGAAAUCCGUUUUUCAAUUGAAGCAACUUUUACGUAGGCUUUCUGAAAACUGAAGCCAGAUCAUAUUCAGUGAUUUUACGCAGCGACUUAGAUUUCAUCAUAUUAUCACUUUCCGUGCGGAACGCAGCUUUGAAUGGACCGAAAAAAGUAACAUCUAAUGGCUGAAGUCGAUGUGAAGUAUGCGGAGGCAAUGAAACCAUCACUAUGCCAUGGUCACGACAGAAUUCAUAGGCUUCUAGAGAAAUAUGACUUGCCUGAUUAUCCAAAACUAGUAAGACUUGCUUUUCUUUUGAACAUGUUGAAUUCUCCACAAAGUGCUUCAGCCAUACAAGGAACAGUUCCACAGUCGUCCAACCGUUUUUCGAGCAAUGAUAAAUUGCUCCGAUAGAGCCAUCAGUUGAUAAGCCAGCUGCUAUUCUCUGACGAAGAAAAAUGAACAUUGGAGGAAUAAAACUCAGCGCUGACAGUACACGGAAAAAAGUUUGGCACUACAGAAGCACCAACUAGUGUAACAGCUGUACGAAAUGAGAGUGCGCUGUUGUACUUCUCUUUGGCACGGCAGCUCUCUCAGUUUGGGAGCCCUGCUGUCCCAAUCUGGCACCGCAGCAUUCCUAACCUUAAAGUGCAGUGGUUGCCUCAUCAGGGUGGGGAGAACAGUUCUCCCGGCGCUUAGUGCUGCCAGUUACCCAAAACUGGCACUCUGGUAGUCCUAAAUGCGAGGUGGCGCUGCACUACCACCUAUGAUGCAGCAAUAGUGUCAAACUUUUUUCCGUGUACAGACGACUGUGACUGUUCUUCCUCGUUCGCUAUUGGUCAUAGCACCAAGUCUCUUCUGACCUUUCACAGCGAUCACAGUUUGGGGCUGUUGGACUGUUAUAAUUCCUGUUUCGUCUAUAUUCCAAAUUUGGGAUGGCAAGAAGUUAUAUUUGUCCAUCACGAGCCUCAGGUUAUCGAAAAACAUUUUUACAGCCUCCGAAUUGAAUCCUGUCACACGAUUGAGGCUUGUUGCCUCUGGUUUCCUCACGCGGAUUGAGGGAUUACGAGCUUGGAAUCCAUAGAACCAAUCUACGCCUGCACAUCUUUUUUCUUUAUUAAAAUUAUUAGGGAUGUUGUGGCGUUCAGCAAACUCAAAUGCUGCGCAGCGCACUUAAAAAGGUGUCUGUCCGUAGAACACUUUCGCUAACUUUAUUAAAGUAUUAGCAACGCAGCUUCUUGGGCUGCUGUAAAAACAGGCUUUCGACCCAUUCUUGGCUUUGAGAAAUUGUCUCUUGUCUUGAGUCUCUGCUGGAUAGUGCUGAAGGGAAUGUUUGAUGCAGUCGCAGCCUGACGAAUGGAAAUUCCAGCUUUUAUUGUUCCGAUAGCUGCUCUGAGCUCGUCUGAGGACCAUUUUCCUCUUUCUGUUUUUCUUGCUCUACAACGAGGCAUCUUAAAUUGAAAAUAUAAUUACAAUUAAUGAUUAACAGAAAAAUUGAAAUUUUAACAUAAAAUUCCGGCGUUAUUUCAAGACUGAAAUGUCCAUCAAAUUGAACAUAUUUUCUAUGUAAAUCAUGUAUAUUAUUCAUUUCUCACUGAGUUUGGAUAAAUUCUACCAAAUUUGUGGUAUAAAUAUAGGUAUAUACAUAUCGUGAUGUUCACGCUGUCACUCAACGUUUGCAGGCAUGUGACCGAUGGUUAACAGGUUAUAUUCGACUGCAAUUUCCCUGUGCAAGCGACACCAACAAAAACCAAGUGUAUUUAUAUUAAAUAAUAAUAUAUUUAUACGAUGUCAUCGUUUUAAUAUGGGCGAAAUGGAAGCUAAAGAACCAAAAAAGUCAUAAAGAACGGUUAAAUGUAAUUUUAACUACUAAAAAUUUUGCGAAACCCUUAUUAAAAGUACAUCGAUUCUUAUAAGAAAAAGGGCGUAAAAUAAGAAUUACCAAAUUUUUAUUAAUUUAUGUUGGUUUAAUAGGGACGGCAUAAUAAAUUACUCGAUAAUCAUGUAUGUAAACGGAUAGAGACAAAAAAGUUUGAUAUAACUGUUGUAUGUUUAUGUAAACGAGUGACCGGCAUUGCCUGAUGACCGACAUUCCCCCCUAUGUUUAUGUGUAUACAAGUACACAUACACAUAAUCAUACAUAAAAAAUAAAAAUUCAAAUUUUAUUUAAAAACAUGUUUUUUUAAAUUGCUUAGAAAAGAAUAAACUUUAAGACUCUGGAUAAAUAUUAACAAGAUUUUAACGAAAAACUUGUAAAAAAUAAUAAUAAACUUUUAUUUUUUUCAAUUAAUAAAACAUGUUUGAUUUUCAAGCGAAAUAAAAAGAUCACACUUAACAAGUCAAAUUUUUUUACUAGGGAUUCUUAAAGUAGAGUCUUUUCCCUUCAAAAAAAAAUUUAUUCAAUUUGGAUAAUUUUUUGCAAAGUUAUGUCACUUUAAAGAUUGCCUAAAAAUUCGGUCAAAAUUUUUGUUCCGUUUCUUUGCAUCAGUGUAUAAUAAUAAUUUGAUAAGAUUUCCGAAUAGUAUCUCCAAAUUUGCUUGCAACAAUUGUAGUUUAUUACGAGACAUAUUUAUUGUGUAAAGAAUUUUUUGCGAAAAAGAACAGAAAUAAAGAAAUUAGCGCAAAAAAAUUCAAAAUAAAAUAAGUAUAAUAUAGUAUAAAAAAGCCACGUCCGAUUACCUGAAUUUUGACAUAGGAGGAAUAUACUGUGACGUGAUGUUUUUCGUCCGUCACAAGGGCCGGAAUGGCCCGGCCGGAAAAGGUUAUUUAGGGCCGCGCCUUAUCUCGAGGGGAGCGGCGGCCCCUUCCUUUACCGGCUAAUUUAAUUUAGAAAUUAGAUCUUGACAGAGAGCGGGUGGAGUGGUGUGCCAGAAUGACCAUUUGUAAUUUACGGAGCAGCCGUCGAGGGACUGUCAGUGAGAAGCCUAGACGACCGAGCGGCGGGACCCCGGGCAGCCGAAGGACCGCGAAUCAGGUCAAGUAUCUACGUACAAUACCGAGAUACGUAAGGAAAGUCGUGGGACAAACAUUGCCGCUAUGUCUUCUUGUAGAGAAAGGAGCAGCAACUAGGUACAGCCGAAAACGACGCCGGGGAAAGAGCGUACGCCCUUACGUCCGUCGGCCAGGGUGGAGGAAACCCUAGCAGGAGCGAUCGUCACGGCCUCGACUAAUAAGCCGGACGGGGCCUGAUCAACCCCGAGCCGGUCCAGCAGCAGCCAAUAUGGCGAGAAAGGCCAUCGAGGCGUACAAUCCGCAGCCUUCGAAUUGCGCGGCGUCAAGAUCAGAGGCGCCCUCGGACGCUGAGAUCCUGCAGGACGAGCAAACGCCUCCCAUCGACUAGCGAUCCGUAUGCGCAGAUCGAAGCGCGAUCGAUGCGCAAGCCACUACUGGCGUCCGCGGCGCCCGCUCACAAUUCGUCACUGUUUGGCGAGUCGACUAAGGGUGCGGACCAACGGUUACCAGCGACGUCCUCGAGAAUUAUAAGGCCACCACUUUGAUCACGCGUUUAUCUAGAGAUAAGGCGCCGAGUGUGGGCUCAAUCCCAAAGGUGUAUCGAAGACGGAAGAGAAGCAGCCGUCGUGGGAGUUUUGCCGCAGGCGACCGACAGUGGACGAGGUGCCUCGCAGGGAGUUUCCUCGCCGAGUCGUGCGUCGGGCCCCGCUGCGCGUUGCCGUCCCUGAGCUACGAGGGUACCGACUCCUACAGCAUGAUUACAAGACGAUUCUCUGGAGAAAUCACGCUGAGGGCACGCCACCGGGCUGCAGACCGGGGGAAGCGGCCGUAUCAGUGCCAACCGUUCGCCAGCAAAAUCGGUUCGGUCGCGGCCUGGCCAGCCGGAUCAGCCGAAGCAGCAGGGCAAGAGAGAUCUCGCAUCUGAAAAUCGACACGCGCAGAUUCCGAAAAGUUCCGAGAGAUGAAGCGGCGCUGCGGUGGAUCGAGAAUCCUGCGAAGUGUGCGGAUCUACCUACCGAAAUUCGAAGCGCGCAGGCGCCUGCGCGGCGGCUCGAGCCGGCCGGCGUGGGACCGGGGCUCCUCACUGUUCGGUGAGCUGCUUACCGAGGCGUAUCGACGAGGACCAGCCCUUUUGUUACCGACUCUGGUGGACCAGGAUCUCUUGUAUUGUAAGGCCAUCACUCGGCAGCCCUCAGGAAUUGCCUAAGAUUCGGUUAAAAUGGUCGACUCUCGUGCGGGUCCGGAUAAAGGAUACCGUUUCUUGUCGUGUUACCGGUAAUUCGGCAUCAGCUACCGUUUUUGUGUUUGCUUUUGCGUUUGAGACACUCGAAUUAAAGAGUAGAGUCUCGUUACCGCACGAGGGAUUGGACCGACCGGCCCCGAAUAUUGAUUAAUUAAGUUCGUCCCUCUCGGACAAAGCCGGCACCGACAGUCAUCGUUAGUUAAUAAUAGAGUUAUUAUUAUCGCGAAUACUGUUUCCGUAAAUUACUAUAUUUGUUGUUGUUCGAGCAGAGAGCCUCGUCGGUCUCCCGCCUCGUAUAGUAGAUUUUCUAAGGUUUUCGCAUUUGCUCUGUUCCUAGAUUCUUGUUUUCGUCUCCGUCGCGUAAAUCUGUGAAUUUAGCGUUUCCGCUACUCUGAGUAAUGUCAAUUAUUUCCGUUGUUACCGUAUUCUUUAAUCACUUAAGAAAUAUAUCUUGAUCCGUGUUAUUUAUUUA